UGACUACUCCCUCCGUUCGGAAUUACUUGUCUCGGAAAUGGAUGUAUCUAGAACUAAAAUACAUCUAGAUACAUCCAUUUUCGAGACAAGUAAUUCCGAACGGAGGGAGUACAUA
rnacentral:pre_miRNA from 1 species